UACGAAGGGGGCUAGCGUUGCUCGGAAUCACUGGGCGUACAGCGCACGUAGGCGGAUUUUUAAGUCAGGGGUGAAAUCCUGGAGCUCAACUCCAGAACUGCCUUUGAUACUGGGAAUCUCGAGUCCGGGAGAGGUGAGUGGAACUCCGAGUGUAGAGGUGAAAUUCGUAGAUAUUCGGAAGAACACCAGUGGCGAAGGCGGCUCACUGGCCCGGUACUGACGCUGAGGUGCGAAAGCGUGGGGAGCAAACAGG
rnacentral:rRNA from 1 species